CACACACCCACUCAUUCACACACCUACUCAUUCACACACUAACUCGCCCACUCAUUCAUACAGUAACUCGCCCACUCAUUCACACUAACUCGCCCACUCGUUCACACACUAACUUGCCCACUCGUUCACACACUAACUUGCCCACUCGUUCACAAACUCACCCAUUCACACACUCACUCAUUCAUACACUAACCCACCCACUUAUUCACACACUCAUUCACACAACCCAACUUAUUCACACACUAACCCACUCAUUCACACACUAACCCACCCAUUCACAAACCCAUUCAUUCACAAACUCACCCACUCAUUCACACACCCACACACUCACCUACUCAUUCACACACUAACUCGCCCACUCAUUCACACACUAACUUGCCCACUCUUUCACUAACCCACUCAUUCACACACUCAUUCACACACUAACCCGUUCAUACACUCACCUAUUCAUUCACACACUAACCUGCCCACUCAUUCACAAACUCAUUUACACACCCACUCAUUCACACUAACCCACUCAUUCACACACUACCUCACCCAUUCACACUAACCCACUCGUUCACACACCCAUUCACACUCACCCACUCAUUUGCACACUAACUCACCCACUCAUUCACACUAACCCACUCGUUCACACACUAACUCAUCCACUCAUUCACACAUUCACCCACUAACUCGCCCACUCGUUCACAAACUCACCCACUCAUUCACAAACCCCUCAUUCACACACCCACUCAUUCACACACGAACUCACCCAUUCAUUCACACACCCACUCGUUCACACACCCACUCAUUCACACACUUAACUCACCCACUUGUUCACACAUCCACUCCUUCACACACUAACCCACUCAUUCACAUACUAACUCGCCCACUCGUUCACACACUAACUCACCCAUUCAUGCACUCACUCACACACUAACCCACCCAUUCACUAACUCACUCAUUCACACACUAACCCACCCACUCAUUCACACACUAAUCUACCCAUUCAUUCACACACUAACCCACCCACUCAUUCACACACUAACCCAUUCACACACGAUCUCACCCAUUCAUUCACAAACUCACCCACUCGUUCACAGCCACUCACACUAACUCGCCCACUCGUUCACACACUAACCCCUUCACACACACACUAACCCACCCAUUCACUCACUCAUUCACACACUAACCCACUGAUUCAUUCACACACUAACUCAUUCACACACUAACUCACCCAUUCACACACUAACCCACUCACACCCUAACACCCACUCGCUCACACACCCAGUCAUUUACACACUAAGUCACCCACUCGUUCACACACAUUCACACACGAAUUCACCCAUUCACACACUAACUCGCCCACUGAUUCACAAACUCACCCACUCGUUCACACACUAGCCCACUCGUUCACACACUAACCCACUCAUUCACACACCCAUUCACACACUAACCCCCUCACACACUAACCCAUUCACACGCUAACUCACCCACUCGUUCACACACCCACUCAUUCACACUAACCCACCCACUCAUUCACGCACUAACCCAUUCACAAACUCAUUCACACAAUAACCCGACUCAUUCAUGCACUAACCCACUCAUUCACACACCACCCAUUCACACACCCACUCAUUCACACACUAACCCACUCAUUCACAC
rnacentral:lncRNA from 10 species